rnacentral:rRNA from 1 species
CGAACAAGUACCGUGAGGGAAAGUUGAAAAGUACUCUGAAUAGAGAGUUAAAUAGUACGUGAAACCGCUUAGGGGUUAAGCCCGAUGAACCCGAAUAUCUGAUGUGAGAAAUUCAAUACGAUUCAAAUUCAUUUUUUAUAUUGGAUUUGUAUAGUAUGCACUUUUCUCAUAGUAAGACAUUGUAAUCCAUUGAUAUUAUAUCUCAUAUGAGAUGAUUUAACAUACGGACAAAAUGUUUAUGAUUAUUCUAUCAGUGAUAUGUUUACAUGUCAUAUGAAUAAAAUCGUUUUGUUUCCUGUUUAAAUAGUCGAUGGAUUUUUCAUUGAAAUCAUGCUUGCAAUUUAUUUUGCGUUU